GCCCCAAUAGCUAGCCCAACUUAAAAACACAACAACCCAUAUUAAUAACCCCGCAACACCGACCGCUAAAUAAGUAAACCAUUUUUCCGCCCAAGUAUCUGCGACAGAAAAGGACCUGAGGAGCAAUAGAAAAAGUACCGCAAGGGAAAGCUGAAAGAGAAAUGAAAAAAUUCAGUCAAGGAAAAGAAAGCAGAGUUUUAAUCUCGUACCUUUUGCAUCAUGAACUAGUCAGUACACGUCAAGCAAAGAGCCCUUUACGUUUGACACCCCGAAACUAAGCGAGCUACUCCAAGACAGCCUAUUAUAGGGCAAACCCGUCUCUGUGGCAAAAGAGUGGGAAGAGCUUUGAGUAGAGGUGACAGACCUACCGAGCCUAGUUAUAGCUGGUUGCCUGAGAACCGAAUAGAAGUUCGGCCUUUUAGCUUUUCUAAUCAACAUGGGUCUCACCUACACCAGACCUUGAGAAGCCAAAAGAGUUAUUCAAAAGAGGGACAGCUCUUUUGAACAAAGACACAACUUUUCCAGAAGGCUAAAGAUCAUACUACUAAAGGCAAUAUACCCAGGUGGGCCUAAAAGCAGCCAUCCUAAUAAAAAGCGUUAAAGCUCAAGUAUAAAGCCCCUAAAAUACCGACAAGUAUUUCUUACGCCUCUCAUAAGUAUCGGGCCAUUCCAUGUAGGCAUGGAAAGGACACUGCUAGUAUGAGUAAUAGGAGAGCUAAGCCUCUCUCGAAUGCACCCGUGUACAUCAGAACGAACCCCCACUGAAUAUUAACGCCCCCACACCCAGAGGGCAGCGAGAUACCCAACAUAAACCUAGAAGCCCCCUCGCGAAAUAGCGUUAACCCCACACAGGAGUGCCCCACGAAAGACAGAAGGAAAAAGAAGGAACUCGGCAAACACUGGCCUCGCCUGUUUACCAAAAACAUCGCCUCUUGCCCCACCAGUAUAAGAGGUCCCGCCUGCCCUGUGACUUGAGAGUUUAACGGCCGCGGUAUUUUGACCGUGCGAAGGUAGCGUAAUCACUUGUCUUUUAAAUGGAGACCAGUAUGAAUGGCAUAACGAGGGCUAAGCUGUCUCCUUUUUCCAGUCAAUGAACUUGAUCUGUCCGUGCAGAAGCGGACAUAAUUCCAUAAGACGAGAAGACCCUAUGGAGCUUUAGAUACUAGAGUAGCCCACGUCAAAAGGCCUAAGCAAAAGGGACAGAACCAAAUGGCGCCUACUCUCAUAUCUUUGGUUGGGGCGACCGCGGAGUAACGAAUAACCCCCACGUGGAAUGGGACACCCCCUUGAAGCCAGAGCCACAGCUCUAGCAGACAGAACAUCUGACCAACAAGAUCCGGCAAGGCCGAUCAACGGACCCAGUUACCCUAGGGAUAACAGCGCAAUCCCCUUUUAGAGCCCAUAUCGACAAGGGGGUUUACGACCUCGAUGUUGGAUCAGGACUUCCUAAUGGUGCAGCCGCUAUUAAGGGUUC
rnacentral:rRNA from 1 species